rnacentral:rRNA from 1 species
AUAACUUCGGGAAACCGGAGCUAAUACCGGAUAAUAUUUUGAACCGCAUGGUUCAAAAGUGAAAGACGGUCUUGCUGUCACUUAUAGAUGGAUCCGCGCUGCAUUAGCUAGUUGGUAAGGUAACGGCUUACCAAGGCAACGAUGCAUAGCCGACCUGAGAGGGUGAUCGGCCACACUGGAACUGAGACACGGUCCAGACUCCUACGGGAGGCAGCAGUAGGGAAUCUUCCGCAAUGGGCGAAAGCCUGACGGAGCAACGCCGCGUGAGUGAUGAAGGUCUUCGGAUCGUAAAACUCUGUUAUUAGGGAAGAACAUAUGUGUAAGUAACUGUGCACAUCUUGACGGUACCUAAUCAGAAAGCCACGGCUAACUACGUGCCAGCAGCCGCGGUAAUACGUAGGUGGCAAGCGUUAUCCGGAAUUAUUGGGCGUAAAGCGCGCGUAGGCGGUUUUUUAAGUCUGAUGUGAAAGCCCACGGCUCAACCGUGGAGGGUCAUUGGAAACUGGAAAACUUGAGUGCAGAAGAGGAAAGUGGAAUUCCAUGUGUAGCGGUGAAAUGCGCAGAGAUAUGGAGGAACACCAGUGGCGAAGGCGACUUUCUGGUCUGUAACUGACGCUGAUGUGCGAAAGCGUGGGGAUCAAACAGGAUUAGAUACCCUGGUAGUCCACGCCGUAAACGAUGAGUGCUAAGUGUUAGGGGGUUUCCGCCCCUUAGUGCUGCAGCUAACGCAUUAAGCACUCCGCCUGGGGAGUACGACCGCAAGGUUGAAACUCAAAGGAAUUGACGGGGACCCGCACAAGCGGUGGAGCAUGUGGUUUAAUUCGAAGCAACGCGAAGAACCUUACCAAAUCUUGACAUCCUUUGACAACUCUAGAGAUAGAGCUUUCCCCUUCGGGGGACAAAGUGACAGGUGGUGCAUGGUUGUCGUCAGCUCGUGUCGUGAGAUGUUGGGUUAAGUCCCGCAACGAGCGCAACCCUUAAGCUUAGUUGCCAUCAUUAAGUUGGGCACUCUAAGUUGACUGCCGGUGACAAACCGGAGGAAGGUGGGGAUGACGUCAAAUCAUCAUGCCCCUUAUGAUUUGGGCUACACACGUGCUACAAUGGACAAUACAAAGGGCAGCGAAACCGUGAGGUCAAGCAAAUCCCAUAAAGUUGUUCUCAGUUCGGAUUGUAGUCUGCAACUCGACUACAUGAAGCUGGAAUCGCUAGUAAUCGUAGAUCAGCAUGCUACGGUGAAUACGUUCCCGGGUCUUGUACACACCGCCCGUCACACCACGAGAGUUUGUAACACCCGAAGCCGGUGGAGUAACCUUUUAGGAGCUAGCCGUCGAAGGUGGGACAAAUGAUUGGGGUGAAGUCGUAACAAGGUAGCCGUAUCGGAAGGUGCGGCUGGAUCACCU